CUUUUUAUGUUAUUUAUUUAAUUAAUUAUCCCACAGAAGAUCCCAAAGUUGUUAUCAAUACUUUUAUGUAAAAAUUAAGGAAAUGUCUUAUGAUGGCCAAUCAAACAACCAUCCACCACAGUUCAAAUGAAGUGGAUGUAAGCAAAAAAAAAAAAAAAAAGCAACCGUAACAAACCCAUACCGUAUAGUAUUCGAUAAUGAAAUGUACCGACAAGAAAAAUAUGAAAAAAAAAUCAACUUAGAAAACUUACGGCCUAAUUUAAAACAAAACAAUUUACAAUAAACAAAUCUGACAGACAUGAAUCACCAACAACCGUUAAACUAUUUGUAAAAGUAAACUAUAGGUCUAAGUACGGUCUUCAACACGGAGCAUUGGCUCAUACCGAACAGCAAACUAUUAAGGGUCCCAAAUGACUAGUGUAAAGCCAAGUGCAAGUUCCAUACCAGGAAAGUCGCCUCCCGAAGCAUCAAUAUAAUAAUACUAAUAGUGUAAAACCAUUCAAACAGGAAAACCAACGGUCUUAUCUUUAAAAUAAAAAUGAUUAUGAAGCACAUCAACAAACGACAACUGAACAUCACAAUAAAUUUCCCAUACACUAAUCACAAACUAAUGCAUGACGUUAUCUAAGCAAACGUUUUAAGAUCAAUAGACCAAGAUUAAGGGGACAGGGCAACUAAUCUCUAUGAAAAUGAGAUGUCCAAAAUGUUAAUAUAAUUGCAUUUCAAAUACCAUUGCACUACCACUUGUGGUUCACCGUAAACUAGACCUAAUCACAAACAAAAAAUGUAAACUACGUCAAGGCGAGACAAAAACCAUCUGCCGAAGAAAGACAAAAAAUUAAAAAGAUGAACAAUCAUUUAAAUCUAGAAAAGAUGCUAAUUUUGAAAUUGAGCCACUUAUAAACCUUCGAAGC
rnacentral:lncRNA from 1 species